UACAAGCAUUGAGAAAUGCUCUACAUUAUUCUGAGACCAAUGGGAAUAUUUGUGGCCAUGAGCUUUCUGUGCACAAUUGAAAAGAGAUGUGUCCUUUGCCUUUCACUGUUGGUGGGAGAGAAACAGCUGGAGUGCAAGUGGAUGAGCUUUAAGCCUCUUAUUUCUACCAGAACAAGAGAUGGUCAGGCUCUUAACAUUCAGCUUUACUGUAACUCUUGAAAGAUCAGAGUCAGAGACAUGGCUUGAUGACAAUAGUAAGAUGAUGAGAUCAUUUAUUUUGCGUCAAUCAUUAAGAAGUUUGCCAAGCCUUUCCUUAUUUAUGUCGAGACCCGGUUCUCUGGCGUGGUGGGGGAAAUCCUUAACUGAGUUGCGUCACAAAUACGUCAAUCACUCAUUCACUGACCAGUCACCACAGUAGCCGCCAUGUUCGCAGCUAUGGCAGGGUAGCGGUACCGAUGCAGAGCGCAUGGUCACAUCAUUGACAUCAAAUACUCGCUGACCGACACCCAAUCCCACCCGGAUAGCAGUUCACAGCUAGCCAGGCACCUUCCCCCCCAACGACCGAGCAGAGCAGUCGGGAUUCUACAGUGGGGGGAAACAUGCACUUUGGAGCGGGGGUCUAGGUGGACUACGAUGCCUUAGAUUUAGAGAGGAAUCCUGGCACAGCAUGGAGAUAAACAACGUCAGUAGUGAGGUCAAUGGGCAUCAGAUCAUGGAUGAACCCAUGGAGGAGGGCGAGUGUUACACGCACUGUGAUGAGGGGACAUACAAGGAGAUUCCUAUCACUCACCACGUGAAAGAGGGCUGUGAAAAAGCAGAUCCAUCGCAGUUUGAACUCCUCAAGGUCCUAGGUCAGGGGUCUUUUGGGAAGGUAUUUCUGGUAAGAAAAAUUGUGGGUCCAGAUGCCAGUCAGUUAUAUGCAAUGAAAGUUUUAAAAAAAGCAUCAUUGAAAGUUAGGGACAGAGUUCGCACCAAGAUGGAGAGAGACAUCUUGGUAGAGGUCAAUCAUCCCUUCAUAGUGAAAUUGCACUAUGCCUUUCAGACGGAAGGGAAACUGUAUUUAAUACUGGACUUUCUCAGGGGAGGAGAUGUAUUCACACGCUUAUCCAAAGAGGUUAUGUUUACAGAGGAAGAUGUGAAAUUCUACCUUGCAGAGCUGGCCCUGGCCCUAGACCACCUGCACAACUUGGGCAUAGUUUACAGAGAUCUCAAGCCAGAGAAUAUCUUACUUGACGAAGCUGGACAUGUAAAGUUAACAGACUUUGGCCUGAGCAAAGAGUCAGUGGAUGCUGAUAAGAAGGCAUAUUCUUUCUGUGGUACGGUGGAGUAUAUGGCCCCUGAGGUGGUCAACAGGAGAGGACACACACAGAGUGCUGACUGGUGGUCGCUGGGUGUGCUAAUGUUUGAGAUGCUAACAGGGACAUUACCAUUCCAAGGGAAAGACCGCAAUGAGACCAUGAACAUGAUUCUCAAAGCGAAGUUAGGAAUGCCUCAGUUCCUUAGUUUGGAAGCCCAGAGUUUGCUGAGGAUGCUGUUUAAACGUAACCCCACGAACAGACUAGGUGCCGGACCUGACGGCGUGGAGGAGAUCAAACGUCAUGCUUUCUUCUCCACCAUUGACUGGAAUAAAUUGUACAGGAGAGAACUACAGCCCCCAUUCAAGCCUGCAGCAGGUAAACCAGACGACACGUUCUGUUUUGACCCAGAAUUUACUGCAAAGACGCCUAAAGACUCCCCAGGUAUCCCUCCUAGUGCGAACGCCCACCAGCUCUUCAAAGGCUUCAGUUUUGUUGCUCCAACGCCGAUGGAUGAAAACAAGAGUUCCCCUCUCCUCAGUAUACUCCCGAUAGUUCAGAUGCAUGGGGGGUCCAAGUUCUUGGAUCUAUAUGAGCUGCAGGAGGACAUAGGAGUCGGCUCGUACUCCAUUUGUAAACGCUGUGUACACAGAGUCUCUGCCAUGGAAUAUGCUGUGAAGAUUAUAGACAAAAGUAAGAGGGACCCCUCUGAGGAAAUUGAAAUCCUGAUGAGAUACGGCCAGCAUCCUAACAUCAUUACACUAAAGGACGUGUAUGACGAGGGCAGGUAUGUUUACCUGGUGACAGAGCUGAUGAAGGGGGGAGAACUGCUAGACAAGAUCCUCAGGCAGAAGUUUUUCUCUGAGCGAGAGGCCAGUGCUGUGCUUUACACCAUCACUAAGACUGUUGACUACCUCCACUGCCAAGGGGUAGUACAUCGAGACCUGAAGCCCAGCAACAUUCUGUAUAUGGAUGACUCUGGGAAUCCAGACUCAAUCAGAAUCUGCGACUUUGGUUUUGCAAAGCAGCUUCGAGGGGGAAACGGCCUGCUCCUCACACCUUGCUAUACCGCCAACUUUGUGGCACCAGAGGUACUAAUGCGGCAAGGUUAUGAUGCAGCCUGUGAUAUAUGGAGUCUUGGAGUUCUAUUGUAUACAAUGUUGGCUGGGUACACACCAUUUGCAAAUGGGCCAAAUGACACACCAGAGGAGAUUCUUCUUCGAAUAGGGUCUGGAAAGUUUUCUUUGACAGGCGGUAACUGGGAUACUGUGUCAGACACCUCAAAGCGACAUCUGCAGCCUGAUGUGCUUACGUGUUGCAGGACCUCCUGUCCCACAUGCUCCAUGUGGAUCCUCACCAGCGAUACACGGCAGAGCAGGUUCUAAAGCAUUCCUGGAUUUCCUGCAGAGAUGCACUGCCACACUUCCAGCUUGCACGCCAUGAUGCACCACACCUCGUCAAGGGAGCCAUGGCAGCCACUUAUUCAGCGCUGAGCCAGAAGACAAGCCAGCCCGUGCUAGAGCCUGUGGCCGCAUCCAGUUUAGCCCAGCGACGCAGCAUGAAGAAACUCAUCUCAACAGACAUGUAGACACACACACACAUUGGGAGCCUGUGCUACCAUUUGGACCUCACUCAUAUACCGACCUAAGUCCUGGCCAGUCAAAGCUACAGUCUCCCUUUUUAACAUAUUUAUUUGACAAAACCAACAUAAACGCACAGCUCCAUGCACAUAUCCACUUGACGAGGCUCCAAUGCGAAGACAUGAGCUCAAAAGCAAGACAAGAAACUUGUAUUUGUUACUGCUGGGAAGACAGACUUGUAUUUAUUUCCACAGCUUCAUAUGCACUUGCCCUCCUCGCCUUUCAUUCUUUCUUCCCUGGGAAGAAACGCACCAGCUGAUGUUCUCCUUCACUGUGAUUGGCUGAUACAAAGCUGCUUCGGUAAACUGUGCCCACCCCCUGCCUCCCACUGCUCUUCAUCUAUGUUCCGUCUUCCUCUCUGCCUCAGUUCUUUCUCCUUCCUUGAUUGCAUUUGCUCUCUUCUUUUCUCCACAAUAGAGUGUAAAAGGUGUAUGUGUGAGAGUGCUAGCAAGAUGACGUUGACUGAGGGACAGACGCAAAUUGUUUCCCUAUUCGAAACCUACAACAAACGUUUCUUUUUGAAAUAGUGCUAAAUCGUAAGGAUCAAAAUCAUCUUCGAGCACUUUUGGCAGUAUAAAUGCAUGUUUGGACAGAAGAUGUAUUUCCUUGACCUUUAAUUCAUGUUUGUGAUGUAUCUAAAGAGGUUAAAAUGACUGCAGGUGGACAAAAUGUCUUAAAAUGAAUGUGAAACUGGUGACAAGUUCUAAAUUGCACAUAUACAUAUUACUUGCUAAUUUAUUUGGUACGCCUGGAUUAAACUAAUGCAGUGGCUUAUGUUUGAGGCUUUUGCUGCAUCUGUUUCAGAGAGGUUGAUUUUUUUAAAUUUAAUUUUUUUAUAUAUAUAAACGUUCAAUGGUGCACUAAAAUUUUUAUGGGUGGACAAAAUAUCAGUACCAGAUUUAACUAAAUAAACCUACCUUUUAAAAUGAAACAAAACGGAUCAUAAUAGUCCUCAUAGAUAUUUAUUUUCAUUUGUUUGAUCUGUGUGUACCUAGUACAUUUGCAAAUGAUUGUAUACAUAUCUUAAUAUAUACAGUGAAGGUUCUAAAGGUGAAGAGCAUGUGGUUGGAGCUGGAGGGAAUUCUCUGGGGGGAAUGAAAUGCACCCCAUCAAACCAGAGGCUGAAUAAAAAAAAGAAAAAAAUCUAUAGAUAUCUCUUUAAAAGACAUUGUGGAAAUUGUAUGAUAUUGUAUUUAUUUCAUUUGAUUUUUAAGAUUCUAUUUUUCUUUCAAGUUCUGUAUAUAUAUAUUGACAUUAAAGAUCAUUAUUGACAUGCA